rnacentral:lncRNA from 10 species
AAAAAAAGGAAGAUAAAAUUCCGAACAGCACCAAAUCUGCUCCAGACACUACAAAGUCCACUACAGGCACAAAGUGUGGCCCUGCAGGGGACUGACAGGAGUCUAUAGGUAGACUGUGGUGGACAUGCAGAAUCCUCAGUAGGAUGGCAGAGCUUAAAGAAGCCAGUGAUAUGGGCACAUGAAAGAUUCAGCAGUACGACUUGGACUUGGAGGUUGGCUAGAUGACAAGAACUUUCUUAAACUUCAUCGUUGAUGACUUCCUGGACAGUGAAGACAACUCAUCUUCCAAAAGUUUAAAUGUUCAUACCCUUUGCUCCAUUGAGUUUAUUCUUAGGAGUCUAACCUAAUGGAAAAUUUACGAACAGCAACAAAGAAAAUCAAAGACUGAAGAAAAACAGAUUAAAUGAGGACUUGUGAAGCAACCAAAGUGCUGGUUAUAUAAAUAUUUCUAACAAUGAAGUAUCUGAUUUUGAUCCAACUUAAAAUGACUAUUAAAAAUGUCCAAAUAAACAGC